CUCAGCCUGACCAGAGCAGGCCUGGCAGAAGCCAGAGAAGCCAUGGAGGAGUUGCAACAGAAAGAGCGGGCAGCAUUCUGGGCAGCCAGGACAAACAAGCAGCUCACCCCAACAUGUAUGCACCAGGAACUGGAACCAAAUCCAAGAGGCCCGCACAUUUAUAUAUCUUGUCGGCUCCAAGCUGUCAGCUGGACAGUUCCUCAAAGACUGAAAAACACUGAAGUAACCAGCUACCCCAGGACGUGACCAGCAUCCCAACUUUCUCAAAUUCUCCAAGAUUUCAGUGGCCACAAAUCAGCAGGAAGCAGUCUUGAGGGACCCAACUCCUCCAUUCAUGCCCAUCUGCUACCCUUAGCCCCCCAGUUUUUAUAAUAAACAAAAGUGUGAAAUGUUACUUCCAUCACCCAAAGUUGCCAGUGCUCUGGCACAAUGCCUAGCCACCCCAAGCUCUGGCACUUCCAGUUCCACAGCUGCACAUGAGCCAUCAAGCGUUCAGGCAACUUACAUAGCCACCCAGGGCCCUCAAGCCCUAUGUGAUUUAUGUACAGUGUGGUCAUGUGAUCUACAUGUGACGUGUCUAUGUGAGCCCCUGAGCACAUGUGCUAGACAGCCUUU